UACGUAGGGCGCAAGCGUUAUCCGGAAUUAUUGGGCGUAAAGAGCUCGUAGGCGGUUUGUCGCGUCUGCCGUGAAAGUCCGGGGCUCAACUCCGGAUCUGCGGUGGGUACGGGCAGACUAGAGUGCAGUAGGGGAGACUGGAAUUCCUGGUGUAGCGGUGAAAUGCGCAGAUAUCAGGAGGAACACCGAUGGCGAAGGCAGGUCUCUGGGCUGCAACUGACGCUGAGGCGCGAAAGCGUGGGGAGCAAACAGG
rnacentral:rRNA from 1 species